rnacentral:rRNA from 1 species
AUGAAGCCCAGCUUGCUGGGUGGAUUAGUGGCGAACGGGUGAGUAACACGUGAGUAACCUGCCCUUGACUCUGGGAUAAGCACUGGAAACGGUGUCUAAUACCGGAUAUUUCAGCUGGCCGCAUGGUCUGGUUGUGGAAAGAAUUUUGGUCAAGGAUGGACUCGCGGCCUAUCAGGUAGUUGGUGAGGUAAUGGCUCACCAAGCCUACGACGGGUAGCCGGCCCUGAGAGGGUGACCGGCCACACUGGGACUGAGACACGGCCCAGACUCC